GACGAACCGUGCGAACGUUGUUCGGAAUUACUGGGCGUAAAGCGUGCGUAGACGGCUAUCUAAGUCGGGUGUGAAAGCCCCCGGCUCAACUGGGGAGGGUCACGCGAUACUGCUCGACUUGAAGGCAGGAGAGGGAAGUGGAAUUCCCGGUGUAGUGGUGAAAUGCGUAGAUAUCGGGAGGAACACCAGUGGCGAAGGCGACUUCCUGGCCUGUUCUUGACGCUGAGGCGCGAAAGCUAGGGUAGCAAACGGG
rnacentral:rRNA from 1 species